UACGUAGGUGGCAAGCGUUGUCCGGAUUUACUGGGCGUAAAGGGCGUGCAGGCGGUUUGUUAAGUCUAGGGUGAAAGCUCCCGGCUCAACUGGGAGAGGUCCUUGGAUACUGGCAGACUUGAGGAGGGUAGAGGAGAGUGGAAUUCCCGGUGUAGUGGUGAUAUGCGUAGAUAUCGGGAGGAACACCAGUGGCGAAGGCGGCUCUCUGGGCCGUACCUGACGCUGAGACGCGAAAGCGUGGGGAGCGAACCGG
rnacentral:rRNA from 1 species